UGGGGAAUUUUGGACAAUGGGCGCAAGCCUGAUCCAGCCAUGCCGCGUGAGUGAAGAAGGCCUUCGGGUUGUAAAGCUCUUUCGGUGGGGACGAAAAGGUUCGUGCUAAUACCGCGAACUAAUGACGGUACCCGAAGAAGAAGCACCGGCUAACUACGUGCCAGCAGCCGCGGUAAUACGUAGGGUGCAGGCGUUAAUCGGAAUUACUGGGCGUAAAGCGUGCGCAGGCGGUUUGUUAAGACAGAUGUGAAAUCCCCGGGCUUAACCUGGGAACUGCGUUUGUAACUGGCAAGCUAGAGUGUGGCAGAGGGGGGUGGAAUUCCAAGUGUAGCAGUGAAAUGCGUAGAUAUUUGGAGGAACACCAAUGGCGAAGGCAGCCCCCUGGGUUAACACUGACGCUCAUGCACGAAAGCGUGGGGAGCAAACAG
rnacentral:rRNA from 1 species